ACUAUUCUCCUUGAUAGAUUAGAAAAUGUUGUUGGCAUUAAGGGAACGGUCCUCUCCUGGCUCAGGUCUUAUUUGGCUGAUCAAAUGGAGAGUUCUCUAUGCAUACUGAGAUAAAGUUUGGUGUUCCACAAGGUUCUGUUUUAGGCCCACUGCUCUUUACUUUAUAUAUGCUACCUCUAGGUCAAAUUAUUCGUAAACAUGGAAUUAGCUUCCACUGUUAUGCUGAUGAUACACAGGUGUAUGUUUCAGCGAAGCCAGAUGACAGACAGCAGCUUAAUAAAGUUGAGGAUUGUGUAAAAGACAUUUGACGUUGGAUGCUUAUUUACUUUCUCUUACUUAAUUCUGAUAAGACAGAAGAACUUGUACUAGGACCAUGUGUAGCUAGAAGUAAUAUUUCUGAUCUCACAGUAACUCUGGAUGGACUUUCUGUUUCAUCAUGUGCAGCAGUAAAAGACCUUGGAGUGAUUAUUGACUCCAGUCUAUCAUUUGAUGCUCAUGUAGAUAAUAUUACUAGGAUAGUCUUCUUUUAUCUCAGAAAUAUUUCUAAGAUAAGAAAUAUAAUGUCACUACAUGAUGCAGAAAUAUUAGUUCAUGCUUUCGUCAGCACUAGACUAGAUUACUGUAAUGCCUUACUGUCUGGAUGUUCCAGUAGGAGCAUAAACAAACUCCAGUUAGUCCAGAAUGCAGCUGCUAGAGUCCUAACUAGAACCAGAAGAUACGACCAUAUCACCCCGAUCUUAUCCACACUGCAUUGGCUCCCAGUGAAAUCUCGCAUUGAUUAUAAAAUACUAUUAUUAACCUAUAAAGCACUAAACGGUCUCGCGCCACAGUAUCUAAGCGACCUUUUGGUUUUCUAUGAUCCGCCACGCCUACUUAGAUCAAAAGAUGCAGGCUAUUUGACGGUACCUCGAAUAGUGAAGGCUACAGCAGGGGGAAGAGCUUUCUCUUAUAGAGCCCCACUGUUAUGGAACAGUCUUCCAAUUAGUGUUCGGGACUCAGACACAGUCUUAAAAUGUAUUCGUUUACUCAAGCCUACCCUGACUAGACUUUCUAUUAUGCUAAGCACAGUCCUAAUAAUCUUUUCUCUCCCUCUCGCCUUCUGCCGAGCCACACACGAUUUUAUGGAGAUACUAGAGAUCCUGAUCCUCUCUGCUCUCCGGACCUGCCUGAUCCGUUUCGGAUGUCCUGCCUCUGGAUGGAGCUCUCAUCUACUCCAAUUCCAGUUUGCUGGGACUACGGCUGCUUCUAAGGCCAAACAGACUUCAUAUAAAUCCAUAAUGAACUUUUUCACACUAUCUGUUGUUCCCCAGAUGAGGAUGGGUUCCCUUCUGAGUCUGGUUCCUCUCAAGGUUUCUUCCUCUUAACAUCUUAGGGAGUUUUUCCUCACCACCGUCACCACCGGCUUGCUCAGUUGUGAUAAAUCUGUAUACCGUGUUUGUAUAUUUCUGUAAAGCUGCUUUGAGACAAUGUGUAUUGUAAAAAGCGCUAUACAAAUAAAAUUGAAUUGAAUUGAAAUUAAUCCUAAUUUUUUACUACUUGGGCGUGGAAAGCUAGCAGUAAUGAGAACUGUUUACGGUCACAUUCUUACGAAGCCAGUUAGCACCAGCGAUCAUCUUUGUUAGCAUUUUUCAUGGAAACGUUAGGCUAGAUACGGGGCAUGCAUCACUGAUUAGUGAACCAUUUCAAAAUGAUUUGACUGGUGUAAAAUAUAUAUAUAUAUAUAUAUUUUUUUUAAAUCAUUUUUACUUUAUUUUCUUUACAUUUAUCUGUUUAUUGGUGCUUUUUUUUGUUUUUUGCACUGUAAAAUCAUCCUACUUGUUUAUUUUAUACUGGUAGGGCAACCUGAUGGGGUAUUUCACACUUAGGUGUUGGGUGUAUUUCGCACUUAGGUGUAACUGUUAGCCCAAAACAGAGGCAACUUGGGUGUUAAGAUCUCACAGUGUGUUUUACUAGUGUAGAGAUACAGACUGGGGACAAAGAAAAACCAAUGGUAAUGUUGCAUUAUAGGAGACAUUUAUUUGUUUUUUGCUGCCAUGGUUUGUUUGUACUUGUCCCCUUAGAGCAACGCGUCACUGCAAAUCAACACCAUCGUUCUACUGACUGAUCACCUUGGAACAUUUCUGUCCUAAUGGGCAUGGUAUCUAUUGGACAACUCCACCUAAUCCAGGACUUUUUGAAUGGUUUGAUGAGGAUGAAAAUGAUGUAAAUCAUACACUAUGGCCUUCUCAGUCAACACAUCUCAAUACAAUUUAACCCUUGUGCAAGAUUUUGCAGCAAUGUUCAGACAGUUCCCCUGACACCUUACUAACAAACCUUAUGUUGCUGCUGGGUUUUUUUUGUUUUUUUUAAAUCGUCACCCUUCUGCGAGAUGGCUAGAUAUUAGUUGAGAGGAAGUAACAAAAUGAAGUAGGUCUCUUUUGACAGUUCAGACACGCUGUGAACGUGUUAGGUUUGUCUUUCACGUGUGGUUUGGGGUGUUUUUCAAACAUGGCAUACUAUAUGCACAGUACAGCAGAAAAAUGUUUCAUCUCAUGAUCUCAAGAACAGCAAAUAUAAAAAGGACUUUCCCAUCUCUGGCAGUGUACUUUUGUCAGAAUUCCUCCUCUAUUCCCCAUGUGCUGUGCAAGAAUGUAUUAACAGCUCAUUAGCAAGCCCGUCAUGCCAUCAGACUCGGUGGUAGAACCGAGGAUUUAGGAAAUAAUGCAGUAAAUACACACUCAAAGAAGUGUUGCUUUGACAAAGAUAGACCAGAGAAGUGUUUAUGACCGUCUAUAAGUGCUGAUUGCUGUGUGUUACUGAUUACUGUCUUUCAUGAACAGGAAAUGGUCAAAAGAUAAACUCCACCAUUUGCACCUCAUAGAAAAAAAAACAACAGCGUGACGUCAUGAACUUCACUGUGAGAAGAUCGCAGUAGAAAACACUGAACGACGCCUCAGGCACCAGGAUGCUAAGACUUUGUCUCGCUCUAAUGCUCGUCAGUGUUCUUAGCGCGUCUCUGCUGGCGGGUAAGUGUAUUUUUCAUUUGAAGAAAUUCGAUUUACUCUAGAGUUUUCCGCAGUGUAUAGUUUUUCUGUCUUUAUCUGUAUGUAUUGCUUUCCUAGUUUUUAUUUUUAUUUUAUUUCUCCCAUGUAUUGCUUUCUGUUUUGUGAUUUUGUUUUGUAUUUGUAUUCUCUAUUCUUUCUUUUAAAAAAAAAAGUUGAUAUUAUUCAUUCUUCUCCCAUUUGUUGUUUCCUACUUUGUUUUUUUGUUGUUGUUGUUUGUUUGGGGUUUUUUUUUCCCACAACAUGGCUAAGUUAACUGUUUGUCAGUUUGGCUAAGUUAAUAAAACAUAAAAUGCAGCUUCUCGUGUUAGCAAGAAACUCCUCUGUCACAAAGAUUUCCUGUGUCAGAAAACCUAACGUUGCAGCUUUACAAUUUUUUGGUUUUUUUUAAGUCUCCUCUCAGAAUACUUACCAUAUUAAUGAAUAUACAGUUUUAAAAAUCUGUUUAGCACACUAAUAUAAAAUGCUCAGGGAAAAUUAAUCAAACCUUCUGACCAGUCAUAUUUGAAAAUUCAACUUUAAACUUUUAGUGUAUUUCAGGCGUAAAUAGUUUUGUAACAUCUGUAAUAAUCUUGAGAAGAAAAAUGUGUAAGCCUUGCAUAGGUUACAUAUUUCUUACUUAUUAGACUUGCAGACUCCCACACUGACCCGGAUCUCCCCAAACUCUGCGGUCUCACCUGGAGAAGUCCUUCAGUUCAGAUGUACGUGUCUCCCUGAAACAUUGUUGAAAGGACCUACUGCUCAUUGCAUUGAGGUCAUUGCUGCUCAGUGAGCAGUGUUUCAGCUGUGACGCUGUGGCCGUUUAAACUCAGCCAACCAAACUGGCUUCAGUCCAGAAUCAAAUUGGCUGAGAGAAGUCUCGCGUCUUGUCCCAGGAUGUGUUGACCUGACUGACACAUCUAAAGUGAGCAACACAACUGCUAGCUUUUUACCUGUGCACAACAUGUGUAGCAGUCAGAAAGGUCUUUGACUAAAAAAAAAAUCAUUUGGGCAAAGUCGCAUGUCCAGCUUCAAGGUGCAUGCUGAGACCUUUUAGCCAACUUCACAUUGCUGGAAAGGUUCUGUUUAAGUGAUUUUUUAGAUUGAACAAAGUUGACCGUAAUCAAGCCUGGGGUGGGGGUAGUUGAUUUGAACCCAAUUAUCAAUUCAAUUUGGUUCCGUGGUUGAUUGAAUAACUAAGAGGGCGAUUAUUUUUUUAACUCGGGUCCAGUUGGUGGGGGCGCACGGUGUCUUAGUGGUUAGCACGUUCGCUUCACACCUCCAGGGUCGGGGGUUCGCGUCAGACCGUGGACCUGUGUGUGCGGAGUUUGAAUGUUUUCUCAGUUACACUGCUAACACCAAGUAAUAUUUAGUUCCUGACAGGUUUUUUGGGGUUUUUUCUUAACAAGCACCAGACUAUAUUUGCUGCUGUGACUUCUGCUGAUUUCUUCAUUGUCAGUAAGUCACAUGGUGACAAGCUUUUAUAUCUGAAGUUCCUGACAAACCCUGCCUGUUGUUUUCAGUGAACUUGCAGCAGCCCAGUCUCCUUCAGUGCUGCUGAUAGAUGGUUCCACUGGGAGUCUGAUGGACCAGAAGUGACAAGGGGCUACGGCUUCUCCAUCAUCUGCUCCACUGAACCUCAGUAUACAGGAGGUUCCUUCCACUUGAAGAUCAUUGAAUCCAACCUCACCAGGACUCAGUCGGCUGUUAACCACUCAGCCGUCUUCCGUUUUCUUGAAGCAGAUUUUGUCCAUCAGGGAAACUACAGCUGUACUUAUAAAAAAUUAACAUGUCUUUAACCUCUAAUGCCACUCACAUCAAUGGCAGCAUCAUAAAAGCGUCUCUUCCACUCUACAUUGGUGUCGGAGCGACCGCAGGACUGCUCCUCAUCUUAGUUCCAGUCAUCAUUUGCAUUGUGAAGGCACGGAAAAGACGAAAAUAUCAGAUGUAUAUGAAGAAGGAAACACAGCACGCCGAAGACACCGAUGCGAGUCCCCAAGUAGAAGACGAGGCAGAUGACGCAGACGACGCAGACGACGAACCUGAUUAUGAAAAUAUGGACACCAUGCCCCACCAGACGCAUGAUUCAGACGACUCUGAUAACGACUACCUUAAUGUUGAUGUUUGUGGACAGAGAAGCGCUCUCGUAGACAAUGACCACGAAGAUGAAGGAAUUUAUGCAAAUUGUUUAGAGUAGUGUGGAGAACUAAACAAUCAUCCAAUGUCCACAGGCCAGAAAGAAUAGCAAGUUUCAAUUGGAUACUCACUUUUUUUCUUUAUUAAAGUACUAUUUUUGACUUUUAGAUUGAAGAAUCAGUUUCUUUCCUCAUUCUGAACGGAAAACAAUCGGGUCGAGUGCAAUUUAUUUUAAUGUCAUGGAGUCUAUUUAUAUUGUAAAAUCCAGAUUGAAUUUAAUCCACAUUUCAUUUUACUGCAUUUUUUAUUCCCAUGUAUUAAACUAAUUUUGUAUAGACUAAAUAUAAUUUAUAUUUGUAUUGUUUUUAAAAAAAAAU